AUCCCUUUGGGGGACAUCUGAUAAAAUUUGAAAAAUCAGAGAAAAUUAGCAUAGUCCCUGCAUAAUAAAUGUGUAUUUUCUAUGUCCUCAAUAUUGUA
rfam:Morus notabilis contig9464, whole genome shotgun sequence.